UACGUAGGGUGCAAGCGUUAAUCGGAAUUACUGGGCGUAAAGCGUGCGCAGGCGGUUUUGUAAGUCAGAUGUGAAAUCCCCGGGCUUAACCUGGGAACUGCGUUUGAAACUACAAGGCUAGAGUGUGGCAGAGGGGGGUGGAAUUCCGACGUGUAGCAGUGAAAUGCGUAGAGGAUGUGGAGGAACACCGAUGGCGAAGGCAGCCCCCUGGGCCAACACUGACGCCUCAUGCAC
rnacentral:rRNA from 1 species